AUGAUCAAGCCAAAUAUCGGAACAACCUUCGACAGUCUGGGUGAAGCUUAUGACUUUUACAAUUUGUAUUCAUGGGAGAAAGGAUUUGGAAUUAGAUACGGGAAGAGCAGACUAAAUGUGAACAUGAUAAAAUGCAUCCAAGAGAUCGUGUGUGGAUGCGCGGGGAAGCCGAUAGUUGAAAAUACUCGUUCUUGUCGCUGUGAAUGCCCGGCACUAGUGAUAUUACUGCGGUCCAAGGACAAUGGGUGGUACAUAGCUGAGCAUCGAGAUGGGCACAACCAUUCUCUGUCGCAGACUUACGGCCAAACAAUACACUGGCCGUCACAUAAGCAUAUCAAUGUGUACAGCAUGGACCUGGUGAAGCAGCUGCGGCAAAACAAUGUUAACCUAGCAAAGGUGUACAGCAUUAUCGGGAGCUUCUUCGGUAAGAUGGAGAACGUAUCGUUCACGAAAAGAGCACUGAGAACUUUGUGUGGCAAGAUAAGCCGUGAGUAG
rnacentral:rRNA from 1 species